CUGGUUGAUCCAGCCAGUAGCAUAUGCUUGUCUCAAAGAUUAAGCCAUGCAUGUCUAAGUAUAAAUAGUAUACAGUGAAACUGCGAAUGGCUCAUUAAAACAGUUAUAGUUUAUUUGAUAAUGGAAGCCUACAUGGAUAACCGUGGUAAUUCUAGAGCUAAUACAUGCUGUCAAGCCCGACUUUUUGGGAGGGUUGUAUUUAUUAGAUAUGAAGCCAAUAUUCCGCAAGGUCUAUUGUGGUGAAUCAUAGUAACUGAUCGAAUCUCCGCAUGGAGAUAAAUCAUUCAAGUUUCUGCCCUAUCAGCUUUCGAUGGUAGUGUAUUGGACUACCAUGGCAGUAACGGGUAACGGAGAAUUAGGGUUCGGUUCCGGAGAGGGAGCCUGAGAAACGGCUACCACAUCUAAGGAAGGCAGCAGGCGCGUAAAUUACCCAAUGCAGACUCUGCGAGGUAGUGACAAUACAUAACAACUCGGGGCCCUCACGGGCUUACGGGAUUGCAAUGAGCACAAACUAAAAACCUUAGCGAGGAACAAGUGGAGGGCAAGUCUGGU
rnacentral:rRNA from 1 species